UUGUAACUAUUGCUUAUUGUGAAUUGGUCUCCCGUUAAGUUUAGGGACAUAAAAAGAAAUUGAAUUGUUAUUGGGUGAACCACUUGACUUUCUUAUGAUGGAAUGGUUCAGUAAACGAUGAUACAUAU